UUUUUUUUUUUUUUCCUCGUUAAGUGAGCGUGACUAAAGAAGACAGUUCUUGCCGAAAGUUCCCACCAAAUCAUUUAGUUAGAAUAAAGAAGACUUUGUGAAACCCCUAACAUCUGUAUCCACAUCCCACAUGCUGACUGCCUUUAGGAAGAGGCUUGAAGGAUUGCAGCCUGAAGCAGUUGGCCUCUCCCACCUCUCUUUCCAGGAAGCUGGAGGUCAAAUUGGAGGUUCUGAGUUCCAGGCAGCUGAACACCAGGGUUGGGGUUUGUCCCAUGGCUUGUGCAGCGCCAUCCAAAGGGCGGCAGGAGGGGCAGUGGCCACAGGGCCAGCAGCUCAUGGAGAGCAGCUGCAGCCCCAGGGAACUGGGCUGAGCCAGGCUUGCUCCACAACUGUGAUACCAUGGAGUCCAGCUCCGUGCUGCCUUUCUACCUUUGAAGUCUGCAAUAGUUUGUGGUUGGUUUUUUUGGUUGGUUUUUUUUUUGGGUGGUUUUUUUUUUUUUUCGGACUUCUCAAAUGGCAUUGAAUUGUCAAGCAAUCAGAAGUAGAGCCUGGAAGACCUGAAAAAUAUUAAGAAAUUUUUUGAACAGCAAGAGUGAUUUUUACAGGUAUGCAUAUCUCCUGUUUCUGUUGGUGUCCUAUAAAUAAGAAAAAGAGAUUUUAAAAAAUAACCUUGAAGUUAAUUUUUAAUACAGGAACCAUAAUUAAUUAAAACUAGAGAAAUUAAUUUUGGACUAAAUGCAUACCUCAGGUGGUCUAAGACAAGGAUGUAUUUAAAAUGACAAGCAAACAAAAUCCAUUACAUAGACAGAAUAAAAUUGAAACAAGUCAUUAUUUGAAAUACAAAAAUGCAAUAUAUAUCUUAUUUUAAAAUAAGUUAGAUGAUUUCUUUUUCUACUUUCUUUUUCCACCUUUCUAAAUCUUGUGGAAGGACAUAUGCCUCAGGCAAACUCUGGAAUUAUUUCCUUUUUGAUAAAAGGGUCUUUCUGUCUUGAAGGCUAGCUGGUCAGUAAUAUAGCUAAACCUAAACAGGAGGAGGAGUAAAGCUUUUGAUUUAGUACAGUGUUUAUGUUAGGAAAGAUGUUUAAUCCUCAGUUUUCUGAAGUGUCUCUACUGUCAGAUACUACCCUAUACCAGUAUGCAACAUUCACUCUCAAAAAUGUCUGCUACCCUCUUUUUAGUGAGGUUUUUUUUCCUUAUUUUUGUAAAAUUUUUUUGGGGGGUUUUUUUUUCUUAUUUCUGUAAUUCUUAUUUUUGUAACAAGGUAAAUAAAAAACAGUAAUCCAAGUUAUUUUCUUGGUUAAUAUUAUCUCACUUCCAAGGGACCUGUUAGAGGGGGAUCGGUUGUCCUGUGUUGGCUGGAACAAUCCUGGUGUGCAACCCCUUUUUUUGACAUCUUCAGACAUUGUUUUCUUUCAGGCUGCAUAGCCUGCCCCUGCCUUUGCCACCUUACUGCUCCAGGGGGUACCCUCUGGGACACUUUUUGUGUCACUUUUUGUGGGCUGUUGUCUGGGUGUUUCAACUACAGUAAAAUCUGGUUUCCCCAUCUCUAACUGCAAGGUAGAGUAACAAGAAAAACCCAGAGAAACUCCUAUAACCCUGAAAUCCAGCUGCCAUAUACAGUGGUUGUUCCCUUCUGUCUUUCCUGCUUAACAUCUCUCCUACACCAGCAGAUGAAUUUCCAUGCAGCAAUAGUGUGGACAUGGCCUGGAAACAAUGGAAGAGGGGCAGAGAGAGACAAAAUUUUCCUUCUUCCACAUAGCCAGUGGUUGUAUCCACAGCAAUGGGGACCCAGCAAAGCAGAGGCUUUCCCUCUAGGUGCAGCAAGCCUCAGCAGUGCUGAAACAACUCUGUCCCUUAUUCAGUGCUGUGCUGGUGCCACCACUUUUUGACUUAGCACAGCAUUUAUAUCAAUGAGGCAAAAUAAUAAUUUUUUAAAAUGCGAUUAUUUUAUUGUCCUCAAUUCCUCAAACUGGUGACCAGAUCUUAAGAGAUGAUGAAUAAACAUUU